rnacentral:lncRNA from 1 species
GGGCGGGUGGCAGCAGCGUUCCCGGCCUGUCUUGUCUGAGUUGGCGUUUGGCGGUGGAAGUUGGGAACAUUAUCAACUGGAAGACUGUUCCGGCACAAUGUGGAAGCUACGUUGGGCACUACAUGCUUGGGCACCAGUACAGGAAGGACUCAAAAUUGAUCACUGAUGUGGCUUGGCUCUAUGCCAAGAGCCUCAAUCUUAAAAAGGAUGGCAAGAACGUUUGGGUCUUUGAUAUAGAUGAAACCACGCUCUCUAAUCUACCGUAUUUUGCUCGUCAAGGAUUCGGGUAAGUUGCUAAUUGAGUAAAUAUUACCAAAAUCGUGAUAUUAAUUUUCUUCACGCAAGCAAUUUCUUUAACGUUUAUAUAAUACAUUCAAAUUGUCAAAUAUUAAAUUAUAAUAAAAAAUUUCAACAAAAACUUGUAGUAACCAAUGAUAUAUUAUAUUUAUCGCCUUCAUGAUAUUAUUCACUAUUUUAUUAAUGUUGAAAUAAACAAUAAUAAGGACCCUUCACGGCCGGGUUUUGCUUUAUUUUUUUUCUAUAAGGGGGAGGGACCCCAGGAUUGCAUAAUGCUUGUUUGAUAGAUAAACGAAUAAUGAAGUUUAUAUAACGCAAAUCGUUUGAUUAAUAAAAGAAUAAUAGUGUAUGAAACUCGGCAAAAAACAAUCAUACUUAUCUAUCUUAAUGCGGAUUCGACUACCACUGAUUCUCUCAUUUCUCAUAACAAUUAACUAUUUAACUCAUUAACAGUAUAACUCUACUAAAAUAUAUUGUAUGAACUCACUUAUAUGUUAAUAAUGCGACCAAUAAUGUGGUACCUAAGCUCUAGCUAGUCUAACUAACGAGAACUUUUUUAUUGUGAAUUUGUGACAAAAAUACGAGUGGUAUAUCAUGUAUUUUUAUAUAAGUGUGAAAUUUUUUAUUUUUUAAGUUAUUAAUUUUUUUAACACACAUAUCUCACCAUUUGUACAGUAACACGUGAUGUACCACUUCGUGUACCGGUCCCGCUGAAAAAUCUCUCCCAACUAACAAAUAUAUUUCAAAGAUUUUAUUAAAUAUAAAGCAUGAGGAUGCACAUGACCCAACGCAUAAUAUAAAAAUAAAGUAGCAGUAAAUCAAAGAUGUUGAUCAUCCAAAUUAGGCCUGGCAAACGGGUCGUAUCUGUUGUGUUCGUGUCGUUUUCAUGUAACACCUGUUAUGUUAACGGGUCGUGUCGUGUCACACCUGUUAUCUUCACAGGUCCUUAACAGGUCGGGUCACUUUACCCAACAGGUAAAGUGACCCGACCCGUUAUGACCCGUUAAGAAAAAUAUUAUUUUUUCUUAAAUUUGCACAUACCACACAUUGCCACAUAAAUAUUACUUCAAAACAUUAAAACACAUUUGUCGUUUAAGUACUACAUCUACACUCGAAAAUAAGUGCCUAAUAAAAAAAUAAUACAUACACUACUAAUCUAUUACAAAUAUUAAAUGUGCAAGGAUAUGCAAAAUGAAAAUGUUUUUCUUUUCAAGGUUGUGAGGUCUUUCUCAAAAGUUUAAACCUCAAUUUACAAAAUCCUCGAUUUAUAUUGAUCAUCAUGAAAUUGUAUUGGAACUUUGGAUUGAUCUCAGCCAAUCCAAAGGUCAUCAAUUUUUUAAAUUUAAUUAAAUAUAUAUAUAAUUAUAUUAUAUAAUUAUUAUAGUUUUUAGGGGUAUAAAAUUGUUAAAUUAAUAUAUAUAAUUAUUAUAGUAUUUUUUAGGGUUAUAAAAUUAUAAAAUUAAUAUUAUGCUUAUCGUGUAUUGUGUUACCCACGUGUAUACCCGAAUCAACCCGUUAUCUUAACAGGUGCUUAUCGGGUUACCCGAUAAUGACCCGAUUCGUUAUCGUGUCGACCAAAACACCUGUUAAUUUCGUGUCGUAUCGUGUCGGAUUAUCGGGUCGUGUCAGGAAUUGCCAGGCCUAAUCCAAAUGAAAAAUUUUGCUAAAAAGCAAAACAAUAAUUGAGAGAUCUUAGAAAUACAAUCUUUUUAGAUAAUGUAGAUUAUUGGAACAUCACGUGAUGAAUUAAUUAAUGAAGAAGUUUGUUGUUGUUUGGUAGGGUAUAAUUAGCACUCAGAGUUUAAAUAGAAUUUUUGGGAAUUAAUAUUUUCAGGACGAAGGCAUUCAAUAUCACUGCAUUCAAUGAAUGGGUGUUGGAAGGCAGAGCCCCAGCUUUGCCCGAGAGUCUUCAGCUGUACAAGAAAUUGUUGAAACUUGGAGUCAAGGUCGUGUUCAUAACAGGUAGAGAAGAAGAUCAGAGAAGUGUCACAAUCACCAAUCUCAGAAAUGUCGGAUAUCGCACUUGGGAGAAGCUUGUCUUAAAGUAAGGAUCUACCAACGAGUUAACUUAACACUUGACGGAUAGUGGUUCAACCCUAAUUUUUUCUAUUUCCGCGUGUAUACAUCUUGACCUACUUUAACUUAUAUCUUGCCUAUUUUUUAACUUUUCAUGGAAAAAAUCAACCUAAAUGUAUUUGUGGUCCUCCAAAUGGUUCCUAGCAAACAUACAUUUUUGUUGCUUUAUUGCAGUUUCGAGGAAUUCGAGGAUUCUCUAUCUCAUAUUCUCAUUCCUCCGUCAUAACUCUACAUAUCUAUUGACAAAUGGUUCAUAGUAAAACUACAUUUUAUUGUAUUGUUUUUAUUGCUGUCUAAAUUUAAGUAACAUUUUUGGUUGCAGGGGAUCAGCUUAUUCUGGGAAGACAUCGUACGAGUUUAAAUCAGCAGAGAGGGCGAAGCUUGAGAAGAGUGGAUUCAGAAUAAUUGGGAACAUGGGUGAUCAAUGGAGCGAUAUAUUGGGGGCAAGUGCCGGCAACCGGACCUUCAAGUUGCCUGAUCCGCUCUACUACGUUAGUUGAUCACUGGUUUUUCGCUUUUCUGCAAGCGUUGAAUAAUCGAUUGAGGUUUCAAGUGAAUAAAUAAAGGGGGAAAAUGUCAAUGUGCUGGAUAAAUGGUACUAUAAGUGAAAUGUGACCAAAUGUAAGCACUUUUUCUUUUUCCUUCGAGGAGAAACUGUAGACGCUUUUGGUUUACCUGUUGUAAGUGAGUUUGAUUAUAUUGUUAGCAAUGCAUUUAAUUGUCAUGAAGCGCACUUAAUUUUCUAGAAGUAAUCUCAAAUGGAACUUUAAAAUGAACAACUAGAAAGCAAAUCAUGCUAAAAAUAAAAAAAUUAGUCUACAUUGAAGGAUAUAAAAGAGAC